rnacentral:tRNA from 1 species
CAAAGAAUAGUUUAAAAAAAAUAAUAAUUUUGGAGAUUAUCGAUAAGGAUUUUCUUUUUCUUUGA